AGACCCAAAUGCGGUAUUUGUCAUGUACAAUUUGAAACUUGAUAUUUUGAGGG
rnacentral:sRNA from 15 species